AUACAGAGGGUGCGAGCGUUAAUCGGAAUUACUGGGCGUAAAGCGCGCGUAGGCGGCUUGGUCAGUCGGAUGUGAAAGCCCUGGGCUCAACCUGGGAAUUGCAUUCGAUACUGCCAAGCUAGAGUAUGGGAGAGGGAAGUGGAAUUUCCGGUGUAGCGGUGAAAUGCGUAGAUAUCGGAAAGAACACCAGUGGCGAAGGCGACUUCCUGGCCCAAUACUGACGCUGAGGUGCGAAAGCGUGGGGAGCGAACAGGAUUAGAUACCCUAGUAGUCC
rnacentral:rRNA from 1 species